rnacentral:rRNA from 1 species
CCUACGGGUGGCAGCAGUGAGGAAUAUUGGUCAAUGGGCGAGAGCCUGAACCAGCCAAGUCGCGUGAGGGAGUACUGCCCUAUGGGUUGUAAACCUCUUUUGUCGGGGAGCAAAAGCCGGACGUGUCCGGCUGUGAGAGUACCCGAAGAAAAAGCAUCGGCUAACUCCGUUCCCGCAGCCGCCGGAAAACGUGAGGAGCAAGCUUUGUUCGGAAUGUCUGGGCGUAAAGGGGGUGUACGCGGGGUAGCAAGUUAGAAGUGAAAUACCUAGAGCUUAACUCAGGUGCUGCUUUUAAAACUGCUAUACUUGAGUGCAGUAGAGGAAUGUGGAAUGCCUGGUGUAGCGGUGGAAUGCGUAGAUAUUAAGAGGAACAUCAGUUGCGAAGGCGACUUUCUGGACUGUAACUGACGCUGAGGCACGAAAGUGUGGGGAGCAAACAGGAUUAGAUACCCGUGUAGUC